CGGCCACAUUGGAACUGAGACACGGUCCAAACUCCUACGGGAGGCAGCAGUGGGGAAUAUUGCACAAUGGGCGAAAGCCUGAUGCAGCAACGCCGCGUGAGUGAUGAAGGCCUUCGGGUCGUAAAACGCUGUCCUCAAGGAAGAUAAUGACGGUACUUGAGGAGGAAGCCCCGGCUAACUACGUGCCAGCAGCCGCGGUAAUACGUAGGGGGCUAGCGUUAUCCG
rnacentral:rRNA from 1 species